UACGUAGGGGGCAAGCGUUGUCCGGAUUUAUUGGGCGUAAAGAGCGUGUAGGCGGCCUGAAAGGUCAGCUGUGAAAACUCGAGGCUCAACCUCGAGACGUCGGUUGAAACCAUCUGGCUAGAGUCCGGAAGAGGAGUGUGGAAUUCCCGGUGUAGCGGUGAAAUGCGCAGAUAUCGGGAAGAACACCCGUGGCGAAGGCGGCACUCUGGGACGGUACUGACGCUGAGGCGCGAAAGCCAGGGGAGCGAACGGA
rnacentral:rRNA from 1 species